rnacentral:rRNA from 1 species
ACACGGGGGGCGCAAGCGUUAUUCGGAAUUAUUGGGCGUAAAGGGCGCGUAGGCGGUCUUGUCGGUCAGAUGUGAAAGCCCAGGGCUCAACCCUGGACGUGCAUUUGAAACAGCAAGACUUGAGUACGGGAGAGGAAAGCGGAAUUCCUGGUGUAGAGGUGAAAUUCGUAGAUAUCAGGAGGAACACCGAUGGCGAAGGCAGCUCUCUGGACCGAUACUGACGCUGAGGCGCGAAGGCGUGGGUAGCGAACAGGAUUAGAAACCCCGGUAGUCC